rnacentral:rRNA from 1 species
UCUGACUGCGUGCGAGGAGGCGGGUGACGGCGUAGGGGGCGUGUGGUGUCCUGAACUAUUGUGUGUAAAGCGCGCGUAGGCGGCCCUGUUAGUCUGCUGUAAAGUUCAAAUGCUCAUCCUUUGAAUGCCGGUGGAUAUUGGAGGGCUAGAGUCCGGAAGAGGCGAGUGGAACUCCUGGUGGAGCGGUGGAAUGCGCAGAUAUCAGGAAGAACACCAACGGCGAAGGCAGCUCGCUGGGACGGUACUGACGCUGAGGCGCGAAAGCGUGGGGAGCGAACAGGAUUAGAUACCCGAGUAGUC